GACGAACGCUGGCGGCAGGCUUAACACAUGCAAGUCGAACGCCCCGCAAGGGGAGUGGCAGACGGGUGAGUAACACGUGGGAACGUACCCUUUGGUUCGGAAUAACUUGGGGAAACUCAAGCUAAUACCGGAUAAGCCCUUAUGGGGAAAGGUUUACUGCCGAAGGAUCGGCCCGCGUCUGAUUAGCUAGUUGGUGAGGUAAUGGCUCACCAAGGCGACGAUCAGUAGCUGGUCUGAGAGGAUGAUCAGCCACACUGGGACUGAGACACGGCCCAGACUCCUACGGGAGGCAGCAGUGGGGAAUAUUGGACAAUGGGGGCAACCCUGAUCCAGCCAUGCCGCGUGAGUGAUGAAGGCCUUAGGGUUGUAAAGCUCUUUUACCCGGGACGAUAAUGACCGUACCGGGAGAAUAAGCCCCGGCUAACUUCGUGCCAGCAGCCGCGGUAA
rnacentral:rRNA from 1 species